CAUGACUAUAGGACAGAGAGGAGACUGAGAAACACAAGAAGCACCAGAGUGGUUGAAAGGAGCUGAAGGCUCAGACAGCAACCUGGACACUAAGGGUCCAAAGCCAAGCCCAAGGUCAAGUAGCUGGGCAGAGAAACAGCUGCAAGCACAGACUUGAAUCCUGACCUGAUUUUCUGCAGAAGCAAGUCCCUGUUUAGCCUUCUACUGCCUCCUUUUAGAAUGAAGCCAGACCAGUCCUUUCCAUCAUGGGCUCCUGUGGAAAAUGACCCCAGCUCAGCUCAGUAGUUGAUGGGACAUCUGAUUCAGGUUGGACCCAGCCCAGACAUCUGAUUCAAACAAUAUUCUUCUCCAGGAAUUUUGUAACCAGCACUGGUAAAGGGAGGGAAGUGCUCCCCAGUGGGGAAAGCUGCAGAAUGUGAGACUUGGAAACCAAAGGCCACCAUGUUUUCUGUCUCAUGAUGGAAUCCAAUCUUCUUUGGCGGGGAAAAUAAAUGAAGCCAACACCAGUAGGUAUAAGAGAGAU
rnacentral:sRNA from 1 species